CGUGCACCAGUGGGGUCCCUUGGCCUGGCUUGUGCCCUCUCACAAUCCGGGACCCCUCUGGGGAAUGUCUAGAGAGCCAGUUCGGCUUGAUCCCCGCAGGCCAGGCCAAGGGACCCCACUGGUGCACA
rnacentral:pre_miRNA from 1 species